CUGAUAACUGGUGAGCGCCGAGUAAUUUAUCAAAAAAUUGAUACAAAAAUGGUGGCCCGGUGGGACCUUCCCUCCGGCGGGCCUUUGUUUUCCGAAUUUAUUUAUUGAAGAAAAUGGAGCGCACAUGGAUGAAGCGGGAAUUUUUUCUUUUGGCCCUUCACCGGAGGAAGCAUGUCGGAGAAAUAAGAAUCAUCGGAGCAAGGGAGAGUUGAAGCAGAUGAUCAUCAAUGGCGAAGUUUACUUCUUUUUUAGUGAAAAAUGGACAUUAACACUUUUGUGAAAUUGAGGGCCAAAAUUCCUUAUUCGAUUUACUGUUGAGUCAGAACGGAAAACUCGGUUUCUUCUUCCUCGCAAAAACCCUAAACCCUUCUUCAUUCAGCUCUGCCACAUGGCAUCUUCCUCUUGUCUGCCGUUGGUUUCUGAUAAUUUCAGUAAAAUUUACGAUGCAAGAAGCUACCUAUCACUCGAUACAAGUUCCAGGUUGAAUCUUGAUGCUACGAACUCCGAAGAUCAGGCUGCUUUGCAACACAAGAGAAGAAGAAUCACCUCUAAUGCUGAUAUUUCAUCUCAUAAUCAUUUGAAGGAGCUCAAAAGUACCUUUCCAACAUUGAAGUCUCCGGAUUAUUAUAUGUCUCCAAGCUUAGAGGAGUUGUCUAUCCAUGUUCUGAAAGAUCCAGAUUAUAUUAGUCAUGUGUCAGAUUUUACAAUAGGACGUUGUGGUUAUGGAUCUGUCAAGUUUUUUGGGAAAACUGACGUCAGAUGGUUAGAUUUAGACAAGAUCGUCAAGUUUCGUAGGAAUGAAAUAAUUGUGUAUGAUGAUGAAACUAUAAAGCCUAUAGUUGGUCAGGGCCUUAACAAGUCUGCUGAAGUUACUUUAGUUCUCCGGCAAAUAACACCCAACUUUUUGGAGAGGCAAUUUGAUAAUAUUGUGAAGAAGUUGAAAUACAUUACUGAGAGACAGGGAGCUCAAUUCAUUUCAUUUGAACCAGAAAAUUGUGAAUGGAAGUUCUCAGUUAACCAUUUCAGCCGGUUUGGCUUGACUGAAGACGAAGAAGAAGAUAUUGUAAUGGAUGAUGCAAAUGCAGAACAAGAUCCUGAAGAAAUUAGCUGCAGCGAGAUUUCUGAUAAUAAUGAAAAAGUUUCAAUGGAUUUCACUGAAUCUGUACUCUGUCAUUCUCUUCCUGCUCAUCUUGGGCUUGAUCCAUUAAAGAUGAAAGAAAUGAGGAUGGUUAUAUUUCCAGAAGACGAGGAGGAAUUUGAGGAUUGUAAUGAAUCCCCUAAAUUUCAAAAAUCAUUCACAGGCAGAGAAUAUAUGAGAUCUCCUCUUAAGGAUUCUUCUCAGAGAACGAGCCAAAAAUUAAAUUCUCCAGUUGUCAGAAAGACUCCAUUAGCAUUGCUUGAAUAUAAUCAAGGUAGCCUUGACUCAGGUUCUCCCGGUUCUAUUCUGAUGUCCCAACCAAAAAGGGUUACUCCUGUUAAGCCCUUGAAAGCAGAAGGUUUUAAGCUGGAUCUCACGCAUGAAACUCCAAUUACUAUACAUCAUUCUCACAACAUAGUUGAUGCAGGUUUGUUUAUGGGUAGGUCAUUUCGCGUGGGAUGGGGCCCAAAUGGCAUCCUAGUUCAUACUGGAAAUUUGGUUGGGAGUGCGAAUUCAGAGAGGGUCCUAUUAUCUGUUGUAAAUGUAGAGAAAGUUGCCAUUGACAACGUGGUCAGAGAUGAAAAUAACAAAGUGCAUAAAGAACUAGUUGAAUUUGCUUUUGAUCUUCCUUUAAAUUUACAUAAGGAAAUGAAUCAUGAAUUUGAAGAAGUUGAAGUGGGAUCCUUCAAUUUGAAACUUCAAAAGGUUGUCUUCAAUCGUCUAAUGCUUUCAGAUGUUUGUAGGGGCUACAUAGAUAUUGUUGAAAGGCAGCAUGAAGUUCCUGGAUUAUCUUCUUCUGCUCGUUUAGUAUUGACACACCAAAUAAUGGUCUGGGAGUUGAUAAAAGUUCUUUUUUCUGAAAGGGAAAAUAUUGGGAAUUUGGGAGAUUUGACUGAUGAUAAUGAGGAAGACAUGAUGCAGGAUAUGAAAGAAGCUUCUCCAGAGUUUGACCUGGAAGCACUCCCUCUUAUUCGGAGGGCUGAAUUCAGCUGUUGGCUGCAAGAGAGUGUUCUCCCUCAGGUGCAAUAUGAAUCAGGUUCAUUAAAUGAUUCCAGUUAUCUAGAACAUAUAUUUCUUCUCAUGACUGCGCGGCAGCUGGAUGCAGCAGUGCAACUUGCUUCUUCUAGAGGUGAUGUGAGACUUGCUUGUUUGCUGAGUCAGGCUGGUGGAUCCACUUUGAAUCGCGAUGAUGUUGGUCUACAGCUUGAUAUUUGGAGAAGGAAUGGAAUGGAUUUCAGCUUUAUUGAGAAGGAACGGACACGACUAUAUGAGUUGCUGGCGGGGAAUAUAUUUGAUGCUUUGUAUGAUAUUGAAAUUGACUGGAAGAGAUUCCUAGGGCUGAUGAUGUGGUAUCAUCUGCCACCAGAUACCACUUUGCCUGUGAUUUUUCACUCUUAUCAACAUCUUCUUAAGAAUGGAAGGGCUCCGCACCCUGUUCCAGUUUAUGCUGAUGGGCCACAAGAACUGGCUCUAAAGUCCAAUCCAAGGGAAUGUCUUGACCUCUCAUAUUUUCUCAUGCUUCUUCAUGCUAAUGAAGAUCCUGAAUUUGGCUUUCUUAAGACUAUGUUAAGUGCCUUCUCAUCAACAGAUGAUCCACUUGAUUAUCAUAUGAUCUGGCAUCAACGUGUAGUGUUGGAAGCCAUUGGUGCAAUUAGUUCUAAAGACCUACAUAUUCUUGAUAUGGGAUUCGUUUCUCAAUUGUUAUGUUUGGGACAAUGCCAUUGGGCGAUCUAUGUGGUCCUUCACAUGCCCUUCCGUGAUGAUUUUCCACACCUCCAGGCCAAAGUUAUUCGGGAAAUCCUCUUCCAAUACUGUGAAAUAUGGAGUUCACAAGAAUCACAAUUUGAGUUUAUUGAGAACUUGGGCGUUCCAAGAAUAUGGCUACACGAGGCUAUGGCAGUUUUUUUCAGCUACCAUGGGAAUCUCCCAGAGGCCCUUGAACAUUUCAUUGAAUGUAGAAAUUGGCAUAAAGCUCAUACUAUUUUUACAACUUCAGUUGCUCAUAGAUUAUUCUUGUCAGCUGAGCACUCGGAUGUAUGGAAGCUUGCUACUUCGAUGGAGACCCACAAGUCUGAAAUAGAGAAUUGGGAAUCUGGGGCUGGAAUUUAUAUAUCAUUCUAUUCACUGAGGAGUUUGUUGCAGGAAAACAAUGAAGCGAGUGAAUUUGAUUCACUUGAAAGCAGAAAUGUUGCCUGUGGGGAGUUUCUUGGUCGAUUAAAUGAAUCAUUGGCAGUUUGGGGUAACAGACUACCAGUUGAGGCAAGAGUUGUUUACUCAAAGAUGGCCGAGGAGAUAAGUAGAUUACUUCUAUCAGGUAUUGGGGAGGGUUCUACACGUGAUGCUCAGAUGAGCUGCUUUGACACUAUUUUUACUGCCCCAAUGCGAGAGGACCUACGCUCAAGUCACUUGCAGGAUGCAGUCUCCCUUUUUACUUGUUACUUGUCGGAAAUCACAUCGUAGUCUUCAUCGCUCCAAACACCAUUACGCAGCUUGAAUGUUUAACUGGAGGAUCAUGUUUUUGCACGAAGUUGAUGCCUACAUUCAUUCUGUAUACAUUCGAUCAAGUAGAGUACAGUGGCUUACACCUCUGAUUAUCAGCCGUCGUUAGGAUUGUCAUCAUAAAAAUGUUUCUGGUUCAAACCGUAGUAACUGUUGAAUGCGUAAAUUUCAAUGGUUUGUUGUAGAAUAAUUCACUUGGUGUAGCUCCAUCUUUAUAUUGGAAGAGUAGGGACUGUAGCCUCUGUUAUAAUUUGGUUGCUGCCUGUGGGGAUGGCUGAUAUUUAGCUGCAAUUUUGUUUCAGACUUGCAGUGUAUCGGGUGAAGGUGAAAACUUAGAGCCAAACAAAUGUAUUGCCUUGCCUAUAUCUACAACUAGGAGGAUUAGAAAGCCAUGCAGUCGUUUGAUUCCAGAUUUUGUAAGGUUGUUAUUUGAAAUGAGAGACAAACAUUUGAUGCGGUAAUGAUAAAAAUGUCGAAGUUUUAGUUUCA